GUUGGACUGGCCUGGUUGCGUGGAAGAAGAGCAGACCGUCACCAGUAGGCAGCAGUUCUGUGAUGCACUGCGGUCAAUCCCUGACGUGCAGCAGAGGAGGAGGUGUAUGCUGACCCGGGAGGAUCCCAACAGCAGGCAAGAAGGGAAGAGGAGGAUGCGCAGCAAGCAGCAGAGCCCAGCCCAGCCCAGGAUCCAGCGCAGCCCACACCAGCCAGCCCAUCCCACCAGAGGAUCCAAUGCCGUUACCAGGCAGCCUAACAGAGAAGCAUUUUGAAUUUAUUUCUUUCCUUCUGUCUCUUCUCUGUCUUCUGUGCACUUCCCUAAUCUAACAGCACUAACCAUCCCCUACCCCUUAACAUCGAUUUUGUUGUAAUUUCCUUGAAUUUGUGUGCUUUGUUUCAUUGUUUUGAAUUUUUACUAAUCUCGUCUCAGUUGUAUAUUUUCAGGCACUCGGACGUGGUACAACGCGGGAGCACCCAGCCAGCCUCCAGCCACCCAGCCAGCCACAGAUGAAGAGGAAGGAGCCCAUUGCCCAGCUUUGUCUAGCGGCUUACAUUUGCCAAGGCGGAGCGUCGAUCCCACCGAGACAUUCAGCAGCAUUCUGGGUAGCAAGGAUCGACUGCGACCGCACAUGGAAGAGAGGAUAUGCGGUGUGAUGCAGCCCUCUGUUCCCAGUCCUUUGAAGAGGAGUCUGCCAACCCAGGGACGGUCAGGGUUAGGCUGUUGUGGAUUCCCAGAUGAUUAGUAGACUGCGGCCUGCCAGAGGAAGUGCGCAGAGUUCAGGGA